rnacentral:misc_RNA from 1 species
CCAAACUUGGUCAUUUAGAGGAAGUAAAAGUCGUAACAAGGUCUCCGUAGGUGAACCUGCGGAGGGAUCAUUAACACUUGGAGCAGAGAUAGGAGAGGUGGGUGGUUUUACUACCCAGCCUUCCUAUCAUCUACCAAACCAACCGAUGUGAACCUAACCUAACCUGGGCAUGACGCUUCACUUGAUGUGGCAUGUUCUUGUUUUGUUUUUAUUACCCCAAACGAUUUCCAACUUUGUGUUGUUUUUCUCUUUUUUGUUUUGCAGUCGUUUGGUCGUCAUUGAUUUGAAGUCCGAAAGUCUGUGUGAACGACAUAAAAAAAAUAGUAAAAGCACAACUCUUAGCAACGGAUAUCUUGGUUCUCGCAUCGAUGAAGAACACAGC